AAAAGAAUGGGGAUGAAAUUCAGGCAGAGCUCUCCCUUUGAAGUAAGGCUUAUCCAGGUACACAUCCCAUUUGCCAUUUCUCAUCUAUAUAACUGAAAAGCCAUAGUAAGGGAUUGAGGAAGAUCUAGAGGGGCUCCUGAAUCUUAUUAGGAGAAUCUUUCAGACCUAUGACCCCAUCUGGGCUGACAUCCAGAGCCUCCUCAAAGUACUCCUAAGAGAGGAAGAAAAGGUCAUGGUCUUUUCAAAAGGUGGAGAGGAAGCAAACAAAGGGACCAGAAACAAUGCAGGUUAUGCUAUUUUCAGGCCAGGGAAUCAAGAGGUCCCAAACGAUGAAUACAACUGGGACCAUGGGGACAGUGGAGAAAGUGGGCAGGGGAGGAGACAGAGGUUGACCCAUUGUAAUAAUAUUAUCCUCAAGGGAAUCCAGGCACAGGGAAGAAAGAAACCUGUCAAUUGGAAUAAAAUAAAGGAAAUCAGUCAGGACCCAACAGAAAACCCUUUUGGCAUUCCUAGAGCACCUUGGGGAAGCCUCCAAAUCUAGUCCACUGCUGACCCUGAGGCACUGGAAAGGAAGGCAAUCCCGAGGUCAUGUUUGCUUCUCAAAGUGCCCCUGACUUGAGGUGUAAACUUCAGCACCCUACCAACCUGACUGAGGUUGCCUACCGGGUGUUUAAUAACUGAGAUGUAGAGGAAGAAAAGUCAGAGGAAAAAAAGGCCCAGAGGCAAGGUGGGCUUUGCCCUCCAAUGUCAGCUUGCGGCAGGAGAUAGGUGUGCUCCAGCAUAGACAUUUACAGCCAGCCUCCUGUUUAUAUUUCUAGAGGCAGCAGAUAGGUGGGCUCCAGGAUAGACAUUUAGAACCAGCCACCUGUUUAUACUUCAAGAGAGAAACAACAACAGGCACAAGGUAAAUAACUGGAAUUUGUCUUCUGUGGGUAAUUUAAACAAUGGUAACGGCAGGGGCAAAAGAUGAACAGGUCACAUACUUCCUAGCCUCAAGGUCAGGGAUAUCCUAGCUGCACAUGUGCAGAAGUGCUCCUAGGGGUCAAAAAGGGAGGGGAUGCCAGGCCCUAGUAAGUCCUGAUAACCAUUCCAUAACCCUUUACUCUAGAAUCCAUCUUGGCCAAAAGACGUGCACACAGGAAGUUCCCGUUGUGGCUCAGGGGAUUAAGAACACAACUAGCAUCCAUGAGGAUGCAGGUUUGACCCUGGCCUUGCAUGGUGGGUUAAGGAGCCAGCAUUGCUGCAAGCUAUGGCAUUAUUCGCAGAUAUGGCUUCAAUGUGGUGUGGCUGUGGCUGUGGUGUAGGCCGGCAGCUACGGCUCUGAUUCACCCCUAGCCUGGGGACUUCCACAUGCCACAGACACGGCCCAGAAAAGAAAAGAAAAAAAAAAAAAGUGUGUGCACAUAUCAGGGAGGGCCCUGGGUCUAGUCAGAUGUUAGAAAUAAAGCAGUAAAACUGGCCAAAGGAAAACAAAGAUCCGGAGGAACUGCCCUAUCUAAAUGACUUAAAUCACCUCUCUGGGGUGCUCCUCAUUCAGGGGGACGCCGACACCUGCACUCCGCCUUUCAUUUCUGCCUGCUUGAAACAUUCUUACUUUCAAGAAGGGGUAAGAAUCACAGCAAUUCUGCUUUCAGCCUCUAGCUAAUCUAGUGGCUAGAACUGCUGGUCUUCACCCGGGCUGCCCAGGUCCGAUUCCUGAGCAGAGAAUUAAGAUCUCACAUCAAGCCAUCACUCACUGGCAAAGGAAUCUGGACUAACUGCCUAACUGGAGACUCUCAACUCUGCUUCACUGGCUCACAGGGUGCUGUGUGUAGAGGCUCCCACCGGCCCUUCAGACCACAGCUCCUGGUGCACACUGCGGGCAGGACACCACACGCAGCUCCAGGGCGGGCCGUGUGCAGACGCUCCCACGCCCUUCAGUCCAAGAUGGCUGCAGUGGCGGGCCGAGUGCGGAGACGCCGCGCCCAAUGCUCUGCCCUGCACAGCAGCCUCCCAGCUGUACUCGCCCCAGGAGAACUCCACCUCCUCCUCCCCGCCCCCCACUGAGGAGAUUCCCUAUAAGGCAGCCCUGCCCUUGGCCUGUCUGGUAAAGCUUGUGCUUUAGAGCAACCUCUUGCCUCUAUUUUCUUUGAUCAAAGAGUAAACUUUCCUCUUCUUCUCAACCAGACUUGGUCUCUUCUAUUGGCUCAAACAGCCCUGGGCAGGAAGACCCUUACAGGGCCUGACUCAGAAGUGUGGGUACCACUACCUUAUAGGUUCUAUGGGUACUAAAGAGAUAGAGGUUGGGCGGGGCUUGGUUAGGCAGUGUGUGUCAUGAAAUGCUGGAUUUCAGGACUCAGAAAUCAAAGGCAGAUCUCAUUUGUGCAUUGGCAAACAUCAUGUCAGGACCUGAAGACCCGUGAAACACAGCCAUUCCCCUCCGUCCCCCAGAGGCUGCCGGGCAGGGGGUUAGGGAAGACAGGGCACAGCCAGGGGAGGGCACAGCCAGGGGAGGACACUGACCCCGCAGUUCUGAGUGCACUGUGGGGGAUUGGGGCACACAGCCUGGGCAAUGGUGGGCCUGGAAGUUUCCAAGGAGGUGAAUUCUGGGCUGAGACAUGAAAGAGGGGCUUCCAGAAGAAGAAGGACAAUUACAGGGGUGGGAGUGUUUGAGUUGGGAGUGGUCCUGGUCCAGGCCAAGCCUGUGCGUCCAGUUCUCCUCGCCCAC